GACGAACGCUGGCGGCGUGCUUAACACAUGCAAGUCGAGCGGUAAGGCCCUUUCGGGGUACGACGAGCGGCGAACGGGUGAGUAACACGUGGGUGACCUGCCCUCCAGCUCUGGGAGUAAGCCUGGGAAACGUGGGUCGUAAUACUGGAUAUGACUCCACGGUGCAUGUCGUGGGGUGGAAAGCCUUGUGCGGCUGAGGAUGGGCCCGCGGCUAUCAGCUUGUUGGUGGGGUGA
rnacentral:rRNA from 1 species